rnacentral:rRNA from 1 species
UACGUAGGGUGCAAGCGUUGUCCGGAAUUAUUGGGCGUAAAGAGCUUGUAGGCGGUUUGUCGCGUCUGCUGUGAAAUUUCGGGGCUCAACCCCGAACUUGCAGUGGGUACGGGCAGACUAGAGUGUGGUAGGGGAGACUGGAAUUCCUGGUGUAGCGGUGAAAUGCGCAGAUAUCAGGAGGAACACCGAUGGCGAAGGCAGGUCUCUGGGCCGUAACUGACGCUGGAGGAGCGAAAGCGUGGGGAGCGAACAGG